rnacentral:misc_RNA from 1 species
UUAAGCCAUGUACACCUCCCUGGGGAGUCAGGUAAUUAUAUUACCUGUUACGACUUCCCCACCCGUCAUGCACUACCGCGGGCGGGGGCAUCGCCUCCCACGGUUAGGGCUAACUAAUUUUAAAAACCCACGGGCAUGGGCGCAGCGGCACUCCGGGAAGCUCUCACCGUGACAUAUUGAUCCGCGAUUACUCAUGAUUCACUACGUAGUGCCGAGUUGCGACUGCGAUCUGCCCGGCGGUUCUCCGCGGGCCAUGCGACCCCGCCUGACCAUUGCGGGCUGACGCAGUCACAUGGUCACCGGCAAAAUCUCAUUAGAGUGCCCUUUUCGACGAAGCCAGGCUGUUGCGGGAUCACUUAACCCAACAUCUCACACACGAGCUGACGACAGCCAUGUAGCACUCUGUGCUCCGGUUCUGAGCACCCGUCUUCCUUCGGGAUUCCAGACAUGUCAAGGGUAGGCAGGUUUUGCCGCGUUGCAUCGAAUUGGUCCACAUCAUCCACUGCUUGUGCGGGUCCUUGUCAAUUUCUUUGAGUUUUAAUCUGCGACUGCAGCUCCCAGGCGGUCACCUCACGUUAUUGCAGCACAAGGCCUGAAGGCCCCAAUACAAGGACAUCAGCCUAGGGCGUGGACUACCAGGCCUAAUCCUGUUUGUCUCACGCUGCAUGACAAGUGUUAUCCAGGAGGCUGCCUUCUGCCAUCGGUACUCCUCCGCAUAUCCUAUUCACUGCCACACGCGCACUCCACCUCCUCUGACACCAGCUCGGCAGUUGCACGUAGUUCCAGUUAAGCCUGGGACUAUCUUUCUUUCGAAAUCGCCUGCUUUACGCUCCAAAGUAAUUCCGAUUAACGCUUGCACCCACGUAUACGCCAGGCCGCUGGCGCGGUUAGGGCCGGCGCCUGCAGGGUAUUGUCAGUUGCACGAUAAUACCCCGUGCAAUUGACGGUACCUGCAGAAUAAGCACCGGCUAACUACGUGCCAGCAGCCGCGGUAAUACGAGUGUGCGUUAAUCGGAAUUACUGGGCGUAGCGCAUGCGUUCUGAAAAAGAAAGAUGUGGAAAUCCUUGUUUAACUUUGGAACUGCAUUUUUAACUACUGACAGAGGCCGGGAGGAGGUGGAAUUCCGCGUGUAGCAGUGAAAUGCGUAGAUACGCGAGGAAUGACUACGACAUGGCGAAGGCAGCCCGGGAUGAAGACGACGCCUGCACGAAAGCGUGGGGAGCAAACAGGAUUAGAUACCCUGGUAGUCCACGCCCUAAACGAUGUCAACUAGCUGUUGGGGCCUUCGGGCCUUGGUAGCGCAGCUAACGCGUGAAGUUGACCGCCUGGGAGGUGGCCGGCUGCGAUUAAAAACCAAAGAAUGAUUAACGCACGUGGAUACUGUGAUCGCCAAUUCGAUGCAACGCGAAAACCCAUCACCUUGACAUGUCUGAAUCCCGAAGAGAUUUGGGAGUGCUCGCAAGAGAACCGGAACACAGGUGCUGCAUGGCUGUCGUCAGCUCGUGUCGUGAGAUGUUGGGUUAAGUCCCGCAACGAGCGGCAACCCUUGCCACAGUUGCUGGCUGCACACCCUGAAUGAGAUCUGUUGCGGAUGAAACCAGAGGAAGGUGGGGAUGACGUCAAGUCCUCAUGGCCCUUAUGGGUAGGGCUUCACACUAUUACAAUGGCUGGGACAGAGGGUCGCCAACCCGCGAGGGGGAGCUAAUCCCAGAAACCGAUCGUAGUCCGGAUCGCAGUCUGCAACUCGACUGCGUGAAGUCGGAAUCGCUAGUAAUCGCGGAUCAGCAUGUCGCGGUGAAUACGUUCCCGGGUCUUGUACACACCGCCCGUCACACCAUGGAGUGGGUUUUACCAGAAGUAGUUAGCCUAACCGUAAGGAGGGCGAUUACCACGGUAGGAUCAUGACUGGGGUGAAGUCGUAACAAGGUAA